UUGAUUAUAGUUCUAGGUUUUCUAAAUUCAGAGAAUAGACAAAUGGCAAUGCUAUCAAUUGGGCUGGGGAAUAAAGGAGAACCAAUUAGUGCAUAGGGAAAGAUGACUAGUGAGAUACAAAAUUCCAGGUGUCUGGUAAAAUAUAGAUGCUGAAGUACGAGGAAAUCAGGCUGUGCUUCUCAGAGAAAUAUUUGGUCUACUGAUAUGCAGGUGGAGCUGGGAUCCACCUACAAUGGUAUGAGAGAGUGUAAGAGUUGAAAAUCACCCCCAGCAAGCACACAGAAUAAUCAGACCAAGACCACAUCACUGGCAAGACAUUAGCAUGUAUAGAAUAGGAGGAAGAGUUACUUAAAGAGAAAGAGGAGUGAUCAGAGAGGAGCUGGGAGAAGCAGAGAGAGCUUCCAGGGUUUGCUUGUGAGUAUUCCCCACUACAUGAAUCGAGGAGAAGAAGCCUGAGAGCAGGUCCUAGCCCUGGACGAUUAUCAGGUCACGGAUGACAUGGGCAGGAACUACCUCUGUGGUGUGGUCAACACAAAAGCUAGACCCAAGUGGGUUGAGGAGUGCCUUAGUCAGCUUGGGUGGGCUUCCAUAAUAAAUACCACGGACCAAAUGGCUUAAAUAAUAGAAAUUUAUUUUUUCACAGUUCUGGAGGCUGGAAAGUCUGAGAUCAAGAUCUGGCAGUGUUCAUUUUAUGGUGAGGCCUUUCUUCCUGGCGUGGGAUGGCCACCUUCGUGUUGCGUGCUCACCUGGUCUCUCCUCUGAGUGCACAUGCAGAGAGGGAAAGAUCUCGCCCUCUUCCUUUCCCUGUAAGUCCACCAAUCCUAAUGGAUGGGGACCACGCUCAUGACCUCAUUUAACCUUAAUUACCCCCCUGAUACAGAUACAGUCACAUUGGGGGUGAGGGCUUCACCGUAUGAAUUUUGGCCGGACACAUUUCCACCAGUAGCAAGAAGUGAGGAUGUUGCUGACUAUGCUAAUUAAGACAGAAUGAAAAGGGAGAGGCUGCAGGUACACAAGGUGCUUGAUAGAAAAGCUCACAGAGAAGGAAGGUGGGCACUGGGAUGCAGUGGUGAGAUGGCACCUAGCCCAGCAGUGCAGGAACUGGCUGCAGGAAGGAGGAGUGAGGACAAUUUCUGCGAGAGGAAGGAAGCAGAUGCCAAACAAGUUCUGUUCUCACCAGAGCAGACCUUUGAGAACUGCAAGGGGAGAGCUCACCGGUCAUCCCUCUGUGGCACCUGCAGGUCACGGGGUAUUCACUCAAAGCCCUUGAGAUGGAACGUGACGCCGGAUCUAGUUCAGGUGCAGAAUCAAUGGAUUAUGACCCCCACACCUGGUCAUGCGUAGGAAAGUGAGAGGCUACACGCUCACUUGA